GGAGACAGUCAUGAGACGUGAGUAUAAGACCUGAGUGUAAAGACCUUAGGGUGAAGCAAUUGGAGGGCAAGCUUUGGUGCCAGCAGCCGCGGUAACUCCAACUCCAAGAGUGUCUAUGGUGGAUGCUGCAGUUAAAGGGUCCGUAGUCGUGAAUGCAAUUAAAUGUCGUUGUUCAAUAGCGAUGAGUUUGCUAAUGUUUGCGGAACGGAUAGGGAGUGUAGUAUAGACUGGCGAAGAAUGAAAUCUCAAGACCCAGUUUGGACUAACGGAGGCGAAGGCGACACUCUUAGACGUAUCUUAGGAUCAAGGACGAAGGCAGGAGUAUCGAAAGUGAUUAGACACCGCUGUAGUUCCUGCAGUAAACUAUGCCGACAGCCUGUGUGUGAGAAUACGUGGGCGGGAGAAAUCUUAGUGUUCGGGCUCUGGGGAUAGUACGCUCGCAAGGGUGAAACUUAAAGCGAAAUUGACGGAAGGACACUACCAGGAGUGGACUGUGCUGCUUAAUUU
rnacentral:rRNA from 1 species